UACGUAGGGUGCAAGCGUUGUCCGGAAUUAUUGGGCGUAAAGAGCUCGUAGGCGGUCUGUCGCGUCGGCUGUGAAAACUCGGGGCUCAACUCCGAGCUUGCAGUCGAUACGGGCAGGCUAGAGUUCGGCAGGGGAGACUGGAAUUCCUGGUGUAGCGGUGAAAUGCGCAGAUAUCAGGAGGAACACCGGUGGCGAAGGCGGGUCUCUGGGCCGAUACUGACGCUGAGGAG
rnacentral:rRNA from 1 species